CCCUUAGAUGUUCUGGGCCGCACGCGCGCUACACUGAUUCAUGCAACAAGUUUUGUCCUUGGCUGAUAGGCCUGGGUAAUCUUUGAACGUGAAUCGUGAUGGGGAUAGAUGAUUGCAAUUAUUCAUCUUCAACGAGGAAUUCCUAGUAAACGCAAGUCAUCAGCUUGCAUUGAUUACGUCCCUGCCCUUUGUACACACCGCCCGUCGCACCUACCGAUUGAAUGGUCCGGUGAAAUCUUCGGAUCUGAGAGAUGUCUGAUUAAUUUCGGACGCCUUUUGGAAAAGUUGUUUAAACCUUACCAUUUAGAGGAAGGUGAAGUCGAAACA
rnacentral:rRNA from 1 species